AAGGGGGCGAUGAUGUUGAAAACUACCUAUUUUAUGAAUGGGUUUUCACCAUUUUUCGUGAUUAGAAAUUCACCAAUGGAUCCUUCUGAGCCGCCU